rnacentral:rRNA from 1 species
CCAGGUCAACCGAGGUCACUCGUUAUAAUGCAGUCGAGCGAAUGGAUUAAGAGCUUGCUCUUUAUGAAGUUAGCGGCGGACGGGUGAGUAACACGUGGGUAACCUGCCCAUAAGACUGGGAUAACUCCGGGAAACCGGGGCUAAUACCGGAUAACAUUUUGAACCGCAUGGUUCGAAAUUGAAAGGCGGCUUCGGCUGUCACUUAUGGAUGGACCCGCGUCGCAUUAGCUAGUUGGUGAGGUAACGGCUCACCAAGGCAACGAUGCGUAGCCAACUGAGAGGGUGAUCGGCCACACUGGGACUGAGACACGGCCCAGACUCCUACGGGGAGGGGUGGGAAUCUUGGCAUGGACGAAAUCUGACGGAGCACGCGCGUGAGUAUGGGGGUUCGGGGCGAAACUCUUUGUGGGGGAGAAAAGGCUAGUGAAUAGCUGACUUGGACGGUACUAACAGAAAGGACGCUAACUACGUGCCAAGCAGCCGCGUAAUACGUAGUUGGAAGCGUAUUCCGGAAAUAUUGGGGCGAAAAGGGCGCCCGGGUUGGUUUCUUUAGGUCUGAUGUGAAAACCCCCCGCUCCACCCGUGAGGGUCAUUGGAAAACGGGAAACUUGGAGUCCGGAGGAGGGAAGGGGAAUUCCAUGUUAGGCGUGAAAUGCGUGGAGUAUGAGGACCCCAGUGGCCGAAGCGACUUUCCUGGCUGUACUGACACUGAGCCCGAACGCGGGGGGGCAACAGGAUUAGUACCCUGGUAGCCCAGCCGUAAACGUGGGUGCCUAAGUGUAACGGGUUCCGCCCUUUAGUCUGAAGUAACGAUAUAACGACUCCCCCUGGGGAUACCGCCCCCAGUCUCAAAUCUAAAGGAAUUGACCGGCGCCCGCCAAGCGUGGAAGAUGUGGUUUAUUUCCAGACACGCGAGAUACCCUUCGAGGCUUGACAGUCCUCUCGAACUCUGAGGAGGGGGCUUCCCGUCGGGGCGAGAUGACAAGUGGUGACAUGUUUUCCGCCACGCUCAUGCUGAGAGUAGUGAUAAGAUCCCUGCACACAGGCGCAAGUCUGUGUCAUGUGUAGCUGCCUACACUUUAUUGUAUG